UACGUAGGGUGCGAGCGUUGUCCGGAAUUACUGGGCGUAAAGAGCUCGUAGGUGGUUUGUCACGUUGUUCGUGAAAACUCACAACUCAAUUGUGGGCGUGCGGGCGAUACGGGCAGACUUGAGUACUGCAGGGGAGACUGGAAUUCCUGGUGUAGCGGUGGAAUGCGCAGAUAUCAGGAGGAACACCGGUGGCGAAGGCGGGUCUCUGGGCAGUAACUGACGCUGAGGAGCGAAAGCGUGGGGAGCGAACAGG
rnacentral:rRNA from 1 species